rfam:Brachypodium distachyon strain Bd21 chromosome 1, whole genome shotgun sequence.
AAUGUACUCACUCCGUCCAACAAAAGAUGUCUCAAUUUUGACCAAAUUUGAAUGCAUCUAUACACUAAGUCAUGUUUAGAUACAUCCAAAUUUUAACAAACUUGAGACAUCUUUUGUUAGAUGGAGGAAGUACGUG